rnacentral:sRNA from 1 species
AUCAGCGUGGGAUUCACGGCGAAAUGAGGCUGUUCGUGAGUGAGGGCGUCCCGGGUUGCUUGCCGGUGCUGGCCGCAGCCGGCAGAGCCCGGGGUAGAGCAGAGGUGCUCAUCAGCACCGUAGGCCCCGAAGAGGAGCUGAGUGCCCUGCACAGCUGGUUCCAGACACUGAGUACCCAGGAGCCAUGUCAGCAAGCUGCAGAGACUGUACUGAAACAGCAAGGUGUCCUGGCUCUCCGGCCUUACCUCCAAAAGCAGCCCCAGCCCAGCUCCCCUGAGGGAAGGGCUGUCACCAAUGAGCCUGAGGAGGAGGAGCUGGCUACCCUAUCUGAGGAGGAGAUUGCUAUGGCUGUUACUGCUUGGGAGAAGGGCCUAGAAAGUUUGCCCCCGCUGCGGCCCCAUCAGAAUCCAGUGUUGCCUGUGGCUGGGGAAAGGAAUGUGCUCAUCACCAGUGCCCUCCCUUAUGUCAACAAUGUCCCCCACCUUGGGAACCUCAUUGGUUGUGUGCUCAGUGCCGACGUCUUUGCCAGGUACUCUCGCCUCCGCCAGUGGAACACCCUCUAUCUGUGUGGGACAGAUGAGUAUGGUACAGCAACAGAGACCAAGGCUCUGGAGGAGGGACUAACCCCCCAGGAGAUCUGCGACAAGUACCACAUCAUCCAUGCUGACAUCUACCGCUGGUUUAACAUUUCAUUUGAUAUUUUUGGUCGGACCACCACUCCACAGCAGACCAAAAUCACCCAGGACAUUUUCCAGCGGUUGCUGAAACGAGGUUUUGUGCUGCAAGAUACUGUGGAGCAACUGCGGUGUGAGCACUGUGCUCGCUUCCUGGCUGACCGCUUCGUGGAGGGUGUGUGUCCCUUCUGUGGCUAUGAGGAGGCUCGGGGUGACCAGUGUGACAAGUGCGGCAAGCUCAUCAAUGCUAUCGAGCUUAAGAAGCCUCAGUGUAAAGUCUGCCGAUCAUGCCCUGUGGUGCAGUCGAGCCAGCACCUGUUUCUGGACCUGCCUAAGCUGGAGAAGCGACUGGAGGAGUGGUUGGGGAGGACAUUGCCUGGCAGUGACUGGACACCCAAUGCCCGGUUUAUCAUCCGUUCUUGGCUUCGGGAUGGCCUCAAGCCACGCUGCAUAACCCGAGACCUCAAAUGGGGAACCCCUGUACCCUUAGAAGGUUUUGAAGACAAGGUAUUCUAUGUCUGGUUUGAUGCCACUUUUGGCUAUCUGUCCAUCACAGCCAACUACACAGACCAGUGGGAGAGAUGGUGGAAGAACCCAGAGCAAGUGAGCAGUUCUUAGUUAGACUGUGCAUGGGGAGGGUAGGCGGUAGGGUGU